rnacentral:misc_RNA from 1 species
AAAGUAAAAAAAAAAGACAUCUACAGCAUUUGCCAUGCGAUCAAAGUAGCCUUCCUUGGCUCUUCUCUCAGCCAAACCAUGUUAAUUCUUUCAAGCCUCCAAUAGAAACAAAUUAUAGAACAGCAAAUACGUAAUCAACCAUCUACAGCUCCGCAAAAAAAUUACUCGCACUGCUGUUGGAUUGCCCUUUUUUCUUCUUGCUCCCUGAAAAUAUUAAAACAUUAAAACCAAACUCAGCAGAGACCUGAAUUAUAUUUUCAACAAUAAGAUGCAUAUUCGUAAGUGAUAGACAUUGAAUCAACAAAUAAAUCAACACAUGGUCGAUCCCCAAAUAAAAAAAAAUGAUGCUAAAGAGGCAGUUAGAAACAGAACUUCCCAGUGCCAUAUGCAGAUUAUAAGAGUACCAAACCUCUUUAUCACAGCAUAUUCAAGUUCCCUUAAAAUUAUAAAUCAAGGUAAUUGAUUUUUAUAGCUGGAUCAUGCGACUUCUAUGAGACAUUCAAAUGUUAAAUCCAUAAUUAAACAUAUAUAUAGCUCCUAUUUCCGCAUAAUUUACUAGCUAAGUUAAGUUUUAGUAUCUCUUUGUAAAAGAAAAUGGAUUAAAGCUUUUAUACAGAAUUAAUGUUUGAGAAAAGCAACAAUCUAGCUCCACCAGCAAGCAACAAAUAAAGAAUAACUUAUCUAACAAAACUGCUUAAAGAUUUAUAAUUCACAUUUAUGCCUCAGACAAGCCAAAGGAUGGUUAUUUCUUCCAAUAAAGUAAACCAAAAUACCUUUUUUAGAACUUGGAGGAUUAAUAUCAACAUCCAUCUCAUCACUAUCACUGUCAGUCACAUCAUCUUGAUCCUUUUGAGUAUCUCCAGAAUUUUGCAGUAAAUCAUCCAAAUCCCAAAGCUUCAACAUUUGAUCAUGUGAUAUGCUGCCGAGAAAUUUUCUGUCGUGAGAAAAAGCUGUAGGACCAAACAAAACUACAUCUCAAACAAAAUUUUUUGAAUAAUUAAGAAACAAAAAAGGAUAAAACACAAAAAGAUAGUAAUUUUCUGUGAAAAUAGGAUUGGCAACUGAAUCACAUCAAUGCAUGUCAGACCUAUAUGCUGGCAAAUACUGCCAAUAAAAAAAUCCUUUUAAGGAAAUAGAUAUAUAGUACCAAGGCGCUCAAUGGGAUACUCUGAAUGCUCCGCAAGUGGUUGGAUGAUUCUGUUGGGUAAUAUGCCUACCAGACUGAAAAAUUUUAACAAAAGAAUCAGAGAAGGGAAUUACGAAGAAGUAUGAUCCACAAAUUGGAUUGAAAGAAUGCCCUCGAAUUCUGAACAAUCUCACCUGAUGAGUCCAUUCUCAGAUCCAGUAACGACCCUAUCUUCAUCAAGCUUCAACAAAGCAUCAACAGAGUUUGGCGAGAGACCAACAAAGCGAUCACUGGAAAUCAAUAAAAAAUAUAUUCAGGGCAUUUCAAGGAGCAAGAAAUCAAUGUGCACAAAUCAUACAUAUUGAGAGAGAUUUCAAUUGAAACUCCUCAUUUGAAGGAAAUAAAAUAUUUCCAAAUGUACUUUUGGCCGUCUGAUAUUCAUAUUUGUUCAAUAAGGUUACCUGCAAUCCUUGAAAAACCCCCAUGAAUACAAUAAUAGUGUUCCAUUUUGUGAUCCACAAAUAACCUUCCGACCAUUCUGAUCACAAAAAGUUACAAAUUAGAAUACAGUAUAAGGUAUCACAGUUGCAUUGGGAAAUAUAUAUUGGCCAUUUGCCUUUACAGUGUCUAUAAUGUUUAUAACCUAUUGAUAAAUAUACUUUAAUGAAGCCAAACAGUAAAAUCAUUUAGAGUGAGAGCAUGUCUUAACCACUUAAGAGUCCAUCCUCAUCCUUUCCACCCCAUGUCAUAAAUAGGUAAUUUAAAAGAGGCAAAAGAAUAAGAAUAGAACAACUUGCACAUGUAAACUUGUACUUGUGUGCCCAGAAAAGUAAAAUUAUGCUUUGGUGUAACUGGAAGAACUUGAAAAGCACAGCAUCUGAAGUAUAUAACAUAAAUGAUACCUUCAUAAUCACAACAGACAGCAACUCUUCUUCAGAAAACUCAGACCGUGUUUGGACCUUAUUGCUUCGAAGGUUGCAAACUGAAAGAGUCCCAUCACCACUAUAACAUGCAAAAGAGAACUUCUUAGAGUUUCACCUUGAAUUACAACAAGGUGAAAAAAGAAAAAAGUGCAGUAGAAAAUUAAAAAAGCCAGCACAAUUGCCACAGGCCCACAGCCCCUCAAAGAAUUGUGAAACUCAUAAAUCUUGCUCAUUCAAAUCUCCAUAUUCUCCCUGUGAAUGUUAUUCUACCAUUAUACAUACUUUAUUCUCACCAAACAAGAAUUGCUUCUGAGUUCUGAAUGUGACUUUUUUUUUUUUACCAAAUCAACUAGAAUCUGGCACCCAAAAAAUCAAAAGAACAGUCCUAUUACCAAAUACCUCCCAUUGAAAAAUCAAAACUCUUCAAACUCUCUCUGUGGUCAAAGGACAACGCUUAUCUUUGUAUAAAUUUUCUAAAUUAAACCAUAAAAUGAAGCUUCACUCUUGUAAUGAGCCCAUCACUAUUUUCAAUUCUAAUUAAAUUUUCUAUUUAUGGAAUUGUACCAAUGGAUUGGCAAUUUUUCUGGCUUUUAAUUGUCAAAUAAAAUAUGCAUAUAGUAUAAAUUCUUGCUAUGACACCAAAUCCUCUCAGCAUCUUAAAGGCACUAGAAGAUAACAAAACAUCUUUAUAGCAUUAAAAGAGUAAAUUGUUUGUAGUGCUGAAAAUACCUCGUCCCUAGGAGUUUCAUGGAAUCAGAGGCAAAAGUCAUAUCUGAAACAUAGUCUUCAUGGGCAUUAAAAGAAUUACAACAAGACCGUUGCCUGGUAUCCCACACCUUAAUACAUCCUUGAUCAUCCCCAGUUGCAAUGGUCGACUCAUUGAGGUUGAUCAAACUAAAAAUGGCAUCCCUGCACAACAAUACGUUAGCAUACAAUAACAGGAGAAAAAGUAAAGCUUAAGAUAUGGGAAACAUAAACAUAAGCCUACUCAUGAGCGUUUUCAACACGAGCAAUCGGCGAUCCAGUUUCUACAUCCGUUGCUAGAAUUGAGCGAUCACUUGAAGCAGUCAAAAUUGCCUGUCCACCGUUUAUGAACCGAACGGCUCUACAGGAGUCAUCAUGCGCUUGCACCUCCAAUAACCUCUUUUGUGACGAGAAAUCAGCAGUAUACCGAUAUAGGUGAAGAUGGCCAGUGAUGAGAGCAGCAGCCACCAUAUGAUCCUGAGGAUGGAAAUCCAUGCCAAAGGGAAUUUUCCCUAAAUCUAUCUCCAUUUCGCUUGCCUCGUCUUCUCUUCUGUUGUGUAUUUUCUUUUGUGUUACGUAUUCUGCUACCAAAGCUCCAAAACCCUUCUUCAAUGGCGACUGGCUACGCAGUAAGCUGCAAUUUUUAGCGGGUGUUUUCUGUUUAUAUAGCAGAAGGAGUUAAGGGGGAAUUAGGGCUGCCGAAGGAACCGGAC